UGAUGAUGAUGAUGAUGAUGAUGAUGAUGAUGAUGAUGAUGAUGAUGAUGAUGAUCGUCAACAUCAUCAUCGUCGUCAUCAUCAUCAUCACCAACA
rnacentral:pre_miRNA from 1 species